CAGUCGCCGCGGUAAUACGGAGGGGGCUAGCGUUGUUCGGAAUUACUGGGCGUAGAGCGCACGUAGGCGGCUUUGUAAGUUAGAGGUGAAAGCCUGGAGCUCAACUCCAGAAUUGCCUUUAAGACUGCAUCGCUUGAAUCGCGGAGAGGUGAGUGGAAUUCCGAGUGUAGAGGUGAAAUUCGUAGAUAUUCGGAAGAACACCAGUGGCGAAGGCGGCUUACUGGCUCAUUCUAGACGCUGAGGUGCGAAAGCGUGGGGAGCAAACAGGAUUAGAUACCCCCGUAGUCCCUGUCUCUUAUAC
rnacentral:rRNA from 1 species